UGAGGAAUCUUGCGCAAUGGGGGAAACCCUGACGCAGCAACGCCGCGUGAGUGAAGAAGGCCUUCGGGUCGUAAAGCUCUGUCAGAUGGGAAGAAAUGGAUGGGGGCUAAUAUCGUCCUUCCUUGACGGUACCAUCAGAGGAAGCACCGGCUAACUCCGUGCCAGUAGCCGCGGUAAUACGGGGGGUGCAAGCGUUGUUCGGAAUUAUUGGGCGUAAAGAGCGUGUAGGCGGCUUGGUAAGUCAGAUGUGAAAGCCCUGGGCUUAACCCAGGAAGUGCAUUUGAAACUGCCUAGCUUGAGUAAGGGAGAGGGAAGUGGAAUUCCUGGUGUAGAGGUGAAAUUCGUAGAUAUCAGGAGGAACACCGGUGGCGAAGGCGACUUCCUGGCCCUAUACUGACGCUGAGACGCGAGAGCGUGGGUAGCAAACA
rnacentral:rRNA from 1 species